rnacentral:lncRNA from 1 species
UGAGCGAGUUGAGAGAAAUCUACCUUCUUUCUGAAUCAAGUUGGUAUCAGAGCUUCGGUCCUCUAUAUCUAUGGCAGCCUUAGUGCAUGGUCCAGAUGCUAAGCAGUCAGAAGAAGGGCUAUCCGUAUUUGAAGUAUAUUGAAAGAUAAAGGCGAGUAUGACUACCAAUUCUAUCUCAAUGGAUGAUGAGAUGAUGGAACGUCUCACACAAUUAGAAGAGAAGACAACCGAACUCACCGAGAUCAUGUCUUGAUUGGCGAUGCCUUCAACACAAGCACCGACAACUCUAUCUCUGAGCAAAACUAAGUGGUUCAGUUAUGAAGCAGAAAAACAAAUAUUUUUCCAUCUUCAAUUCUUAUUUAGCAGGAAUUAAAUCCCCUAAACAAAGGAAGCUCUGAUCCAAGAGGAUCACCAGACUCAAUAUGGACCACUUUGGUCACUAAGAGUAUUUAGAAAGAUCACUAGACUUGAUGUGAACUACAUUGGCCACUACGAAUAUCUAGAAGGAUCACCAGACGCAAUAUGGGUUACUUUGGCCACUAUAGGUAUUCAAGAGGAUCACUAAACUCGAUAUAUAAUAUUUUUGUCACUACAAGUAGGCUGGAUAGGUCCAGGAGCAAGAUCCGUUAUAUCAGAAAGCCAAAUCACAUGCUCAACUUUAGAAGGCCAUAACUUGGUCAUACGACAUCUGAUUAAGAAGAUCUCUUUUUUUUUUAAAUUGGGCAGCUUUUCAAGAUCUACAACUUUGGGUUAACGCCCUAGGAGGUUGAAUCAAAUCGAAAUUCCAUCGUUUGAACUCUAAAACGGGCUAGUUAAACUGAAACUUUCCUUUUCGAAAAAGAUUUUGAUUGUACGUUAUAUUUCAAUCCAUGAAGAAUUAGGCAGAGCGACAGAAGACAAAGUUGAGGUAAAAGUCAAGUUCUACCUCAUCUAGAAUUUUAGUUUUUAAAUUAUUUCUAUGGGUCAUUUAUUUUUGGAGACCUAAUCGAAUUUGAACUAGGAAAGGAAUCCAACCCAAAUUGUAAAAAAGAGGACUUCACUAGCAUUAUAAAUAGGGGUUAUAUACCUCAAUUUUAGAGGUGCAAAUCAUCAAUGAAAGAAAAAGAGACUUAGCCCUACUUUCGCAAUUUUCUAUCUUUUUCUAGUUUUCUUUUGAGAGAUUCGAGUUAAGUAAAUUGAGAAAAAUCUUCCUUCUCUCCGAUUGAAUCAAAUUGUCCAUAACCACUCCAGCUACAGCUUUCUUGCAUUCUUUCUAUUUAGACUAGAUACAUAUCUUGNNNNNNNNNNNNNNNNNNNNNNNNNNNNNNNNNNNNNNNNNNNNNNNNNNNNNNNNNNNNNNNNNNNNNNNNNNNNNNNNNNNNNNNNNNNNNNNNNNNNNNNNNNNNNNNNNNNNNNNNNNNNNNNNNNNNNNNNNNNNNNNNNNNNNNNNNNNNNNNNNNNNNNNNNNNNNNNNNNNNNNNNNNNNNNNNNNNNNNNNNNNNNNNNNNNNNNNNNNNNNNNNNNNNNNNNNNNNNNNNNNNNNNNNNNNNNNNNNNNNNNNNNNNNNNNNNNNNNNNNNNNNNNNNNNNNNNNNNNNNNNNNNNNNNNNNNNNNNNNNNNNNNNNNNNNNNNNNNNNNNNNNNNNNNNNNNNNNNNNNNNNNNNNNNNNNNNNNNNNNNNNNNNNNNNNNNNNNNNNNNNNNNNNNNNNNNNNNNNNNNNNNNNNNNNNNNNNNNNNNNNNNNNNNNNNNNNNNNNNNNNNNNNNNNNNNNNNNNNNNNNNNNNNNNNNNNNNNNNNNNNNNNNNNNNNNNNNNNNNNNNNNNNNNNNNNNNNNNNNNNNNNNNNNNNNNNNNNNNNNNNNNNNNNNNNNNNNNNNNNNNNNNNNNNNNNNNNNNNNNNNNNNNNNNNNNNNNNNNNNNNNNNNNNNGUGAUUCCAUUUAUCUGUUAUGCACUUAUGCCAUUGAUAUUUUAUUCUACAAAUGUGUAGCUAGGCCAGGGUCUCAUCAUUCUACCUACCAUGAGUUAUCAUCUUCUACAUCUAACCCAUCUUCAAAAUCUUUUCCCACAACCCAGUGGCCACAGGAGUCAAAGAUAGGGCAAAAAAAGUUUUAGGAUACUGAAUUCUUCAUUCAUCACCACACAAAACAACACAUUUUGGCACAUCACCUCAAUCAUUGUUGUCUCAUACCAUGAUCCUUGCACUGCUAUAUCCACUGCCAUAUAAGAGUACCAUCCAUAUUACGCCACACUGCCUUGCCCUCUUUCAAACUGACUUAUACAGUUGACAUGUCAUGCUGCAUUGUGAUUCCAUUUAUCUGUUAUGCACUUAUGCCAUUGAUAUUGCAUUCUACAAAUGUGUAGCUAGGCUAGGGUGUCAUCAUUCUACCUACCAUGGUGCCGAAUUUUGUAACAACAGUACAAAACCCACCCACAAUAUUACUCCCCUUACUUUGGUUACUGCUUCCACCUCUGCACCUUAAUAUACCUGAUACAUUUGGGCUGCUCAGGUUUUGACAAUAUUCUCCUGUUUCUUAAUAUAUUUUUUCCGUUGUCAAAACAACUUAUUCCUACCACCUCCAAAUAUGCUUGCCUUAUUCAUCCUUCCUAUAACCAUGUAUAACUCUCUAUCCUCUUCCACUUCCAAUUUAUUCAUUAUCUUCUAUAUCUUGUUUUCUCUGUCUUUGAGCUAUUAUCUAUAGCAUAAAACGUAUGCAGGAGCUAUUUUCCUGAAUGAUUGAUGUAUGUCAGCAUGCAAAUUGUGGAGCUUGUUAUGCUCAUUACUUUUCAUUCUGAAGCAGUUGAAAAACAAGGCCUCUGAAUCAAAGGUUCUUAGCUAUUAAAGGUAAUAAAAAAUUCAUUUUUAGGUAUGCUAGAAGCCAAUGACAGACAAAAAAUACCCUCUCCCGUAUGGUGGAUAUGACGAGAUAAGCAUACUGAUAAACAUAUGCAUUUGUAAGAAGAUCAAAUGCUACUAAUACACUAUCUCCCUUUGGAAUGUUUCAACCAUAUUGGGGGCAGAUUUAAGAUCCCACAGGGACCAUUCUUUUGGAUGAACAAUUUGAUUUCAUGUGGUAUGAUAGCGUUCCAAAAUCUGUUGCUUCAUACUAUACAAAUGAAGAAGUUCUGAAUGAUCAACCCCGUUGCUCAUGAUCAACCCUGUUGCUCAUGAUCAACCCUGUUGCUCAUUGAUUUAUUUGCCCUUUUAUUUAUCUUCUAGUGGCAACUUCAACCAAUUGCUAUCUAACAAGUUCUUUUUGGUGUCUAGGUUCAACUCCUAUCAAGUUCUCUCAUGGGUCUAUGAUAGAUCAUUUGAAUUAUGACACUAAGAAGAAGGCUUCAGAAAUAUUGGAAGAAAUCCUUUGGUUGCUACUACUCUCCUUGAGGCUAGUUGGCUAUCUACUCCUAGUUUUUUUUUUUACAUUUGAAACCUUGAUAAAUGCUUUGUAAGUCUUGGUAUUGGUGUUGAUGCAUCUGCGCAUCCUCUAUUCCAAGGUUGACUAGACUCCUAACCCUAAAUCAUAGCCUCACCCUUGUUCUAAUUGAGGUUCUGCACUAAGGGGGCAAAUUAUAGCUCUUAGUGCAAAUUAUAGCUGGUCCAGUUGUCCAGCACAAUCAAGAGCUCCCAAUCCGAAAUGUCUUCCAUGAAGCAGUAGUUCAUUCUGGCAGAUUUAACUUUGCUUCCAGAGUUCCAGAGGCCAUUCUUCAAACAAGAUCAAUUUUCUCCUCUGCUUGAUACCUAAGACCAUGAAUAUGACUAUUGAAUACCCAACAAAACCGCUAAGGGUUCAAACUUGAGAAAGUAUCAAUGUGGAAAUUCUUUCACAUGUAAUGUCAGGUUAUUUAUUUAGUGAUGCUCUGACAGAUUUAUCAGUGAACGAGUGAUUAGCAAUUCCAUGAAAAUUCACGUAACGGCAUUAUUUUACGAUCCCUAUUCAAAUUCUCCACAGAAUCAACUAAUGAAGAAAAACCCAUUUGGUCCACUAUGAUUCAAUACCCCUUAAUCAACUAAAAACACUGUAAGUCGUAUAAAUUCGUUGCUAAAAAUACCUGUCGGAGUGGAGUAUCUCCUUGGUGAGGAUGGUGAUGGGCUCGAUGUCUUUGAGGAUCUCCUCUUGUCUAUCCUUCCACCUCCUGUACUCGCGCUGGUCGGCCCAUUGCUUGGACGGCGGCGGCGGAGGCGGCACCUUGGCGGUGACGGGAGUGCUCUCGCUCGCCGACGCGGCGGUCUCCGGUGACUGGGGCUCGUCGGCGGCGGAUAGGCCGGAGGCGGAGAAGCGACGCGGGAGGGCCGCGCGCGGGAUGCGGGCGCGGAGGAGAGGGGCGCCUCUCAGCAAUAGGAGAGCCGCCGCAUAGGCCAUGUGAGCGAGGAGAUGAUGGCGUCUGACUGGACCAAAUCACAAUAAAAAUGCGAAAAACCUCUGGGGAGGAGGAAGUUACCGCCGUGGCCUUGGGUGGAUUUGGUUCACCCGAGUAGGUGGCAAUUAGGACGCUCUAAGGCUUGCUUCAUUUAGGCGUUGGAGAAGGUGGAUCAGAAGCAGCCCAAAGUAUUUAGAAUCUAAGGCCGUUUUAUCUUUAAACUCUUUUUCACAAUAGACCGGCCUAAAGCCAACUCAUAUAGAGCCUUUUUUUCUUUCUAUUUUAUUUUUAAAAUCUUUUAGGUCUUCUUUGGACUGGGGCCUUAGAUGACCGUCUAAGUCGUCUAAAGAUUAAGUCGGUGGACAUGUCGGUUGGUUUAGUUCCAAACCAUGUCGCUUGGCAUGAGAGGAAGGGAGCAUGUCAUCUAGUUCAUCCCAUAAGGCGUGCCUCCACUGCCUUCUCUAGCAAUCAAGAAUUGUCUAUUGUUACUACCAAAAUUGGAUCCAGCGGUGAGAAGGCUCCUAAUUGAUAAGCACUCCGGAAAUAUAGUGGUCCCUGGUGCGCUGCUCAGUACAUUAAACAAAAAUUAAAAUUAAAUAACUUGCCAAAAUAGGCUCUAGCUGGAUCCUUCACUGCUUAACUAAAAUGCAAGAAGACCAGAAAAAUUGGGAGUAGGGAGUGCCUAUGCAUGUACAUAUGUACUUGGUACCUCGGCCCUCGAUUCGGGCUCUAAAAUCUUUGGAUGAAUGGAAAGCUAUUUGGGCUUUACUUAUCUAAAUCAGUCCAUAAAUCAGAAUCUAAAUAAAACCGAAUCUCUAUGUACCAUGUGUCUGUCUUUUGAUUGACUGACUCAUUUUGAGCCACAUCAUUUAUGUAAGCUCGCUUUGUUUUUUUUUUCUCUCUCUUUAGAUACAACGGCUGUAUAAUGAAGGUGCGAGGAGAGUGCCUCCAAUCUACCGUCCUAUUUGUCUUUCGAUACACGUGCACUGUCUUAUCCCUUUUCAUCAGACAUAUAUAUAUAUAGCAAUUACUAAUGAGAGGGUUACAAGAAACCAUACAAAAAAGAUAGUUAUUGUUAGAAAAUAACGACCAAUUUAUAUUAUAGAAAGAUAAGGAAUGCUUCGUACACUCUCAUACAUGCUCCACAUAUAUGAUUCUUAACUGCCUGACAUUGGAAAAACCUUCUAUUCCUCUCCCAUAUAUCACGAUGAGUAUGAAGAGGACUUUGCACCCAUGACCUGACCUAAAGUUCUCCAACACGACAUCCCAUUCCAUCUUGAAGGAGAUCAACCAAGCAUCAAAUUACAUCCUAAAGCAUUAUUGGUAUAUCUGUUCUCUAGCAUGACAGUAAUUCCACCCUAAAGAAUGCUUGUCGACGUACUCAAUUAUAUAUUUUCUAUGCAAUCAAUUUUUAUUGUUGUUUUUUCACUUAUGGGUUAUUGCUUCCAGCUUCUUCAUAGUAUUUUUUCUCUGCAAUAUUCAUACUCUACUAGAAAACUUAAUUUCUUUUCCUACGGCAUCAAAGCUGGUUUUCUUGAUUAGCUAUAUAUCUAUCUAUUUUAUUUGGCAUGCCUGCAAUCCUCGAUCCAUAAACUUAUGUUUUUCAUGAAUCAAGAUUCAUGUUUGAUUUACAAAUAGUUUAGUGCUGGGGUAGGCUAUGAUAUUGUAUAUCUCAUUAGUCUAUACAAAUGAGCUAUUAGGAAAAAGAAGAAAUGGUUUAGCACAUACCAAUACAAAAUAUUUAAAACUCUAACCAUGCAAAGUUGCAACCUCUAUUGUCUCUUGCAUUAUAUAUACUUUUUAAACAAAGUUGCGAGAGGUCUUACAUCUUCUCAAGUCCAGCGCUGCUGCUCAUCUUUUGUAUCAAUCUCAACUAUUUCUUCUCCACAAUCUGGAUAUUGGAAGGAAUCAUGAUUACGCUUCCACUAAAUUUUUUCAUCCACCAUGCAUCGCUAAUGCCUACGCUUUUCUGGGCCGCAUUGAAUUAUAUUGCAACAGGCAUGGAGAAUAAUGAAAUAAGAAGGUAAAAAAAAAGAAUAAGUGUAUAUAAUAUUUAUAUGAUUCGAUCUAUUGACCUACAUAGAAUCUAUGGGCAGAGACUAUACGAAAGCUUCACCAUAAAAAAACUAGAGAUUACGAAGUAUAAAAUUUUCUCACAAAUCCAAGCCUCCAAUACACCCAAUCUCUAUGAUACUCAAUUGAUCUCUUUCCUUAGGAUAAGAGAUAAAUAUAAUAAAGUAAGUUGAUAGACUUGAACUGAUGUUCUAAGUAGCUUUGGACUUGAACUAGUGUCUUAUGUCAUUUUGGACUCGAUAUUCUUGAAUUUGUAAACUCAAAGUAUACUCGACAAAUCUCUUCUUUGGCUUGAAUUUCCCAAAACAAAUAUAUUGAAACUUUUCGCACCAUCUCUUCCAUACCUACCUUUAAGGGCAUCAACCUCUAUAAACACCAACAAGUCCAAGCAAUGCUUGAACUUGUCAAUUGAAAGCGGCUUAAUCUCUUCAUCCAUGGUUGUGACCCAUUUUGUAGAUUCCUUGCUAUGAAUUGCAUCCUGAUAUGAGGAAGGUUCCUUACCCUUAAUAUUCUCAACUACUGCAAAAGCAUAAGCAACAAUGUCUACAUAUCGUGAAGGUGUUCUAAUCUGCCUUCCCCCUGCUAGUAGCAAUAUUAUAUUGCCAUUGUUGUUGGGACAUAUCAUCAUGUAUAGAAUCCUGUAUAUUUGUCUCAUUAGGCUGAACUAAAAAGUUUUGUAAUACUCUCCCUGGAGCUUCAACAUCAAACUCCAGCUAUUUACUAACACCAUGAUCUACACUUGCACUGUCAAUGGAUUUCUUGUUCUUGUUUAACAUAGCAGUCCCAUUAAAAGUAACAUCUCUACUAAUAAUAAUUUUGGAUGACUUGGAAUAAUCUGUACACCACAAUCUAUAUAUGUUCAUCCUAUUUUCAUAACCUAGGACUAUGCAUCUUCUUGCCCUUGGUUCAAGUUUACCAUCGUUCAUAUGAACAUAUGCAUGGCAACCAAAUAUUAUCAAAUUGGAAUAAUUAAUAGAGUAACUGGAGCAUACCUAUGCGGAAUCUUGCACUCAAUUACAAUUAAUGGAGAUCGAUUUAUCACGUGCCAUACUAUACUAAUUAUUUUAGCUUAGAAAGUUUUGCCAAGUCCAACAUUUGAGAGUAUACAGUGAACUCUCUCCAUGAGUGUCUUAUUCAUCCAUUCUGCAACUCCAUUCUGCUGUGAUGCUCCUCGUACAGUAUGGUGUUUUACUAUAUCUUCAUUCUUGCAGCACUUGUCAAAUUCGCCUGAACCGUACUCCAAGCCAUAAUCAGUUCUCAAUGUUUUAAUCUUCUAUCCGGUCUACUUUUCAACCAAGGUUUUUCACUACUAAAUUUAACAAACACUUCAUCCUUGUGUUUCAGAAACUACAUCCAAAACUUUCUAAAACAAUCAUCAAUAAACAUCAAAAAUAAUGAUGUUCACUCAUUGAAGCAACCGAAGAGGGACCCCAAAGGUCUGAAUGAAUCUUUUUAUCGAAGGAUCAGAAAAAAAUCGGUCCGAAACUAUUGCGGGAAUGAUUUGGAAGAUCCAAAACUAAAAAUAGCGGUAUUUGCUAGCAACAAUAUAAUGGAGGCAAUCAAUCAAUAUAGAUUGAUCCAAAAUCUGAUUCAAAUCCAAUAUAGCACCUAUGGGUACAUAAGAAAUGUAUCGAAUCGAUUCUUUUUAAUGAAUAGAUCCGAUCACAACUUCGAAUAUGGAAUUCAAAGGGAUCGAAUAGGAAAUGAUACUUUGAAUUAUAUAANNNNNNNNNNNNNNNNNNNNNNNNNNNNNNNNNNNAAUUUGAAUGGAUGUAACUCAAUAUGUCCUUGGUACUGUGAAUACUGGUACCGAACUUUGCCUUGCACUACUUGUCGAAUACACAAUUUUCACAAAAGUCCAGGUUUCCUAUCUUCAUACCAUCAAGCAGCCCUCUCUUGGACAAAAUCAUCAUUCCUCUCUCACUCAUAUGCUCUAAAUGCAUAUGCCAUAACAGGGUAGCAUUCGUAUCGGAUAACCCUAAUGAUGAAGAAAUCAUUGCAUUACCGGUUAUUCUUUUACCUAGUACGUGAUACAAGUCAUUAACCAACUUUUUCUUCAUCACUAUAAGGGCUUCGUUAAAGACUUUUAGCAAACUAUUCUCAUCAGUAUACUUAUACCUUUAAAAAUCUAGAGUACCCAAGAAAAUUAGAUUUUUUUUAAUUCCAGAACAUGCCAAACUUUCUAAGGCCAUCACAGUACCAUCAUACAUCUCAAUUCAAAUUGUUCCAAUACCAACAAUCGCAAUGAAUUUGUUGUCUCCCAACAUAUCCUUUCCUUCUCUCUGAUAGGUAGAAAACCAAUCUUUAUUAGAAGUCAUAUAAAAGGAAUAACCAAAAUCAAGAAUCCACUCUUUUCUAAAGCUGCUGACAUUGACUGACAUAACCUCACUACUAAUAUCAUUGGAAUUUUUCUGUGCCAUGCUAACAUUAGCUUCAAAGACAGUCUUUCUCUUUUUUACUUUUUAAUUUUCUCUCUGGACAAAGUCUUCUAAUAUUACCUUCAUGAGGCUUCAUCAUGACAGUGAAAACAACAUAUGUUUUGAUGUUUCACUUUGAUCUAGACUUGCCCCUAUUGCCAGAACUUUUUUCCUUGCUCCUACCUCUAGCAAUCAAACAUUCUUCUUGAUUCUCCAAAUACCUCCCGAAGUCCUUUUUCUUCAAAUAUUUAGAUUAUAAGGAAUCUCUUACAUCACUAAAUAAAAGAGAUUCUCUACCAUGCAACAUGGUAUCAACGAAGUUCUCUUAAGAGGGUGGUAGUGUCCACGAUAAAAUAAGAGCAUGAUCUUCAUCAUCAAUUGGUACACUGAUAUUUUUAAAUCUAAAAUAGCUUUACCGAAUUCCUCUAUAUGAUAUUUUACGAGCGCACUUCUUUCAUGCGUAGGUGGUAGAGUCGAUGCUUCAAGUAUAAUAUGUUUGUAAGUGACUUGGUCAUGUAUAUACUCUCCAAUUUUAACUAUAGUCGAACUACUGCCUUUUCUUCAAUAACUUCUCGGAGUAUCUUGUCUACUAAAUAUAAUUGAAUUGUACUAUGUGCCUUCGCUAACAUCUCCUCCUUAUCUCCAUUGGACAUUCUAUAUGAUAACUUAUCCUUGCCUUCUAAUGCUUUUUAUAGCUCUUGUUGUACCAAAAGGACUCACAUUUUAAUCUGUCGGAUGCUGAAAUUGUUCGCGCCAUUGAACUUAUCGUUCUCAAAUUUUGCCCUCGUCAUCGCGAAACUCUAAUAAAAAAGGCUAAGGCUCUGAUACUACUUCUUCAGCAGGCAAAAAGAAUAACGAAACAAGAAGAACAAAAAGAAAAGAACAAGAGAAGAACAAUAGAACAUACUAUUUAUAUAGUUUGAUUUAUUGAUCUAUGUGCACAGACAGAAACGAUACAAAAUUUAACUAAUAAAAACUAGAAAUUAUAGAGUGCAAUUUCUUUUCAUAAGUUCAAAUCUCCAAUACAUUCAUCUUUCGAAUAUUCAAUAAAGUUAUAAGAAAUAUAUAUAAUAAAGUAAGUCGACAUAGAAUUAAACUGAUCUUCCAGAUAGAUUUGAAUUUAAACCGGUAUCUUAUAUAUCAUUAUGGAUUCGAUUUUUUAGAUACUGAAAACUCAAGGUAUGCUCUACAAAUCCAACCGUCAGAAAGUUCCGGUCCAGUCUACGAAACUUCUGAAACCCCGAAGAGAUCCAUUGUAUCAGACCCAGUCAGUCCAAUCCAGUCGGCAAUGUUACAUUGUGGUCUGUGAAAUAGAAGGUCCAAUCCAGACGGCAAUGUUACAUUGUGGAGCAGAAGGGACCGUACUCCAAUGGUGGAACAAUAGAAGAUUUGACCCAUCACAUAGUAUACUUUUCUUUAGGCCAUUCAUGGGAAUAAAGCCACGACCAUGACAGGCCCUAAGCGUCCUUCCACUACCCGUAGCCUCGGAAAUCAUAUGAUCCAAGACGGGCGACUUCGUUUUGGACCACAACGCGAGUUAGAAAGCUAAAUAACAAUGAGUGGAGGAUGACGAGAGGCGGUGGCCACGAAAAGGUUCCAACACCCGGCGGCCCAAUCAAAUGCCGGAUUGGUGCUUGCAAUUGUGUGGUGUUUUGAAGGGGGUGAUGUAUCAUCAAAAAAUGAACGGUUAUCUUAUUUAAUAGCUGUCUAUUUUCUAACCGCCCCACCUCAAGGAAUCCCAUGGUCAUACAGGGUUAUAAAAUUCCAUAUGAGCCUUUCGCAUUACAAUAGUAUCUGUUUUAUAUAUAAGUCCCACUUAUACAAUAUGAUCAUUUUCGAGUAUAAAUUGCUAUUUUUUUUAUAUAAAUCCCAUAUUUGGGUUAAAAUCUGGCCUUACUCCACAGUAUGACUUAUGUUGUCCAUGAAUCUCAUUCUCUCUCUAUAUAUAAGCUAUACAAUGCAUGUACCGAUACAUCCAAUAAAAUUUAAAAAAAAAUAAUUUUAUGGAGUGCUCGAGGCAACUCCCCCUUCUCUUCUCUGACCACAGAAGACUUCCUGAGUGGUUAGACCACCCACUCGGCAGCUUCGUUGGCUCGUUCUAUUUUUUAAAAAGGGGUAGAAAACAAAUCCUUCACCAACUUACAGGGCAUGCAAUUGGAAUUUGGAAGCUACAUCUUAGACUAUAAUUUGUUGUUAAACCAACGGAACCACCAUGACAGCCACACAUGGUUGGAUUGGCUUCUCUUCCAAUUUAUUCAGCACUGCUGCGCCGGGGAAAAGACUUUGAUGAUCGAGAAUCUUCUCCUGGUCGUGGACCGGCCUUGCAUUUCAUGGCUUCCACCCGUCCAUUUUCUAAACGAAAAGCAAGCAAGCUCCCAUGAUCACACCUGGCGCCUCCCUUUCUCCUUUCCCCCCACUAACUCCUCUCUUCAUUACAUGGCUGCUUCGUGUAUGAUUGCAAUCCCGCCGCGCGCGGCAGGCGUUUGAAGGAAUGCUGCAGUUGGAAUCAACCAACACGGUUUCUUUAUUCUCUUUUUUUUUUUGUCUAAAUUCCAUGCUUGCACGCAUCUCAAGCCCUUCUUUGAGAUGUGUGUGCACAGACCCAAACUAUUAAAUUGGGUAGACUCAAUUAACUGGUGUUAGUACUUGCACGUCUCAGAAACCAAAGAGUUGCUUAACGGGGAAGGCUAAGCUGCAACCACGGUGCAUUUGGGUUGAUAGCUAGUGCCGCGUCAAUGCACGCCAUGCUGACCAUCGUAUGUCGCAAUUAGUGGCGUCCACGCGCAUGAUUUCGUUGACGGGUCCCUUCCGUUCUCCCCCUACCAUCACGUCCGUCCAUCUUCCAUCGUCCAUCGUGGAUAUAAAAUCCCAGAUUGGGAAGCGUGAAGAGAGAGAGAGAUCUCCUUAUAAUUAAAGUAACAAAAUAAGCAAGAAAAACGAAAACAAAAAAACUGAAUUUAAUACCCAGUUCAAGUCCGGUUUCUGCUCCGUGCAGAGACGGUGGCGGACGCAGCGGCGGAUCCCGACAGAGAGAAGAAAAAAAAACCGAUCCGAGAAAGAGCGAGCGAGCGAGCGGGCGGGCGAGAGCCCAUGCCUCUUUGUCCGCCUCCUCCGGCAUAGGAUAAGUUAACGUUUGCCGUGGAUGGGCCAGUCCUCCUCCACCCCCUGCCACCGCCGCCCGAAACCCCCCUUCGCCGCUCCCCGGCCGUCCGCCACGAUGAUCCCGGAGGCCGCCAUCUCCACAGACUCCACCGGCUCCGUGUGGGACCACACGGCCGACCUCCCCGACGAGUGCCUCGCCCUCAUCUUCCAGUCCCUCGGCUCUGGCGACCGCAAGCGGUGCUCCCUCGUCUGUCGUCGGUGGUUAGCCGUCGAGGGCCAGAGCCGCCACCGCCUUUCCCUCGACGCCCGUGCCGCCCUCCUGGAGGUCGCACCCUCCGUCUUCGCCCGCUUCGACGCUGUCUGCAAGCUCGCCCUCAAGUGCGACCGCCGCUCCGAUAGCAUCGGCGACGAGGCCCUCGCUCUCAUCUCCGUCCGCUGCCCCAAUCUCACCCGCCUCAAGCUCCGCGCCUGCCGCGCCAUCACGGAGCGUGGGAUGGCCGCCCUCGCCAAGCACUGCCCUAACCUCCGCAAGCUCUCCUGUGGCUCCUGCACCUUCGGCGCCAAGGGCGUCGAGGCCGUCCUCCGGGGGUGCGCCCUCCUCGAGGAGCUCUCCAUCAAGCGCCUCCGCGGCCUCUCCGACGCCUCCGCCGACCCCGUGAGCCCCGGCGCUGCCGCCACCUCCCUCCGCUCUGUCUGCCUCAAGGAGCUCUACAACGGCCAGUGUUUCGCCCCCCUCAUCGCCGGCAGCCCCAACAUCAAGAUUCUCAAGCUCUCCCGAUGUUCCGGCGACUGGGACCGGCUCCUCGGGGCUAUCGCUGACGGCGUCCCGGGGAUUGUCGAGAUCCACCUCGAGAAGCUCCAGCUCAGUGACCGUGGCCUCGCCGCCCUCUCCUUCUGCGCCGAUCUCGAAGUCCUCCACCUUGUGAAGAUCCCCGAAUGCACCGAUGCUGGUCUCGCGACCCUCGCCGACAAGUGCCGUCUCCUCCGGAAGAUCCACAUCGACGGAUGGAAGACGAACCGGAUCGGCGACGAAGGCCUCAUGGUCGUGGCCCGGCGGUGCCCCAACCUUCAGGAGCUGGUCCUGAUCGGGGUCAAUCCGACGACUUUAAGUUUGGGGCUCAUCGCCAGUAAUUGCCGUAACCUGGAGCGCCUCGCUCUCUGUGGCAGCGAGACCUUUGGGGACGCCGAGAUGUCCUGCAUCGCUGCCAAAUGUACGGCUUUGAAGAAGCUCUGCAUCAAAGGAUGCCCGGUCUCGGACCAGGGGAUGGAGGCCCUCGCGGAGGGGUGCCCGAAGCUGGUGAAGGUGAAGGUGAAGAAGUGCCGGGGGGUGACGCCAGAAUUUGUUGAGUGGUUAAGAGCGAGCAGGGCAACACUGGCUGUCAACUUGGAUAUUGUUAGCCAAAUUGAGCAACCAGAUGCGACAUUAAGUGAGAGUGGAAUUCUAGAUAAUGGCAGCGAGCUGCUUCCAGCGAUGGUGGAUCAGAUGGCCUCUGUGGAGCUUCCGUCGAGCAGUAAUGGUCGAUCAUGUCCAUGGAAGGCUAGGAUGGGCUUUCUGGUGGGGAGGAAUUUCUUCGCCUCCACUUUCAGGCGAUGGUCCCAUGGGAGCAGCAAUCCACAUCGCUCAUGAAAAAAGGGAAAGAGAAGAACUCUUUCGUUCGCUGUUUACAUUCUUAGUAUAUGCAUCUGUAUGUUAAUUAGCUUCUUCAUAAUUUAGGCUGUAGCUCUAUCAUUAUUGUUGGUGAUAAGCUGUUCGCUGCUGUCUUCUGGAAUUGAAUUAUAGGUAGUUUUGUCGCUUAAAGUGGUCGAUCAUUACUUUUUUCUGGCAUCCUUUUCCCACCUUGGUCUAUGAAUUGUUUGUGUUAUGUUUAUUCAGACUUUUUAUGUUUAUAAUGGCACUACCUUUCAUAUUCAUUGGCAAGUCUAACUCUACAAUCUGGAAAAGUCAUUCUUUUCCCAACUUUUUGCUUAUAUACUGCGGUUAUUUUGAAUGCAUGAAGAACCUAGUUCAACAUGAUGCUACUUACACUAAUUGCAACAGGUUUAAAGUGAUGAUGUCAGAUCCUUUAGUGCAAGGAAGAUGGAUUGGAUAUGGAUAAUUUGUUUAGCUGUUUGAACAAGAAAUAUUUGCUGCUUGUAUGAACACCUUCUUUGGAAUCCAUGAAGGAUCCAUGAGGCAUAGCAUUUUGAAGUUUUUAGUUGUUAUGGUACCUGAUUUUACUAGGCACGAUGUAUUAAAUUUUAAAGUCUUAUUUUUUGUAUGAUGAACAGUUGUAACGACUUCUAAGAAGAUUUAGCAAUUCUCUAUCAUAUCUCUUUCCUGGGAACAUUAAAAAAGACUUUUGAGUGAGCGAAAGAGAUUUAUUGAAUUCACUUUCUCGCUCUGACUUAACAAUUUUAAAGUUACGGCUAUCCAGAAACAUGAUGUCAUUAUUUAAAGAAUGGAAUCAGUAAAUUCACUAUAUAACUCCAUCAAGCAAGAUUCAACUAUAAUUUUUCAGUAUGAGAAUGGGAAUUUGCAUUUGAAAUGGAAAUAGCUUCUUCUGAAGUGAUAAUUUUGUUCAUGAAAGUUCUAGGCUUUCCAGACAAUUCUAUUCUAAUGGUAAUAUAUAUUUAAUUUUAUCAUGUGGUUAUCUAUUAUUCAUAUAAGUGUUGAGGAAUUAGUUACCUGUUGAAAUGAUAAUUAAAGUUUCAAAAUUACUGAAUACACUUAUCAAGUCAGAAAAUUGGACGGGCUUAUUUUUUAUUUCAAAGCUAAUGUUCUUUAAGAUACAAAUAUAAGACCAUCAAGGAUAUUCUUUUACGUGUCUGAUGCAAGUAAUAGGAUCACUAGAAACAUUAAAAGCAACUGGAAAUUCGUCAAGGUAAGUAGAGGCUGGUAUUUGUGCAGAUUGAUUGAUUGGUGGAAAACCUAGUAACAAAUAAAGCCUCUCAAUUGAAAUAUAAAAUUAGUAUUAAUACAUAAAUUAGAGUCAAUUUACACACAACCAAGGCCCCGAAAAAGUUCACAUUUGUAUCUUUUAAAAAUAUCAUUGGGUGGGAAAAUGACUUAUUGCAAGUCACUCGCUAAUUAGUCUUCCUUCUAAAGACAUGCUAGGUUAUAAUCUCAUCAUUUUAUUAGAUUCAAUAUAACAAUUAUCAUUGAGUUGUUGACCAGUAGAAUUUUUUCAUUUUAUCGCCAGUUACAUAUCAAUUGAAUUAGGUUAUCCUACUUCAUGUCUUGUAUUUUUAUUGCGUAGUCAAUUGAUGGGUUUUAGAUAGUGAUCUUUUGAUCUGUUUGAUGAGUAAUUUGGAAAAAAAAUAUGCAUUGUGCCUAUAUCACCAAUAUCCACAAACUUGUGCCAUGACAAUUUUGUUAAAAAUCUCAUUAACCAUAAUGAACAUGGCUAUUAUCACUUCUAUGUUUUUCCUUCUGAUCUGCUCUUUUUCUUUAGAUGUCAGUUGAUGAACCAUUUUGUGGAUUCAAAAUUUGACCAAUUUGGUGGUUUUGGCUUCGUAAAGAGAAAUAUAUAUGAAUAAUAUUUGGGUCUUCAUAAAUAAUGUCUUCUUGGUUUCAUAAAAUUACAGCAAUAAAACAUAUAUGAAUAGUAUUUGGGUCUUCAUAAAUAAUGUCUUCUUGGUUUCAUUUUUUAAUUUUUCUAAGCAAUUGCUGUGCUUACCUUUUGAAGGGAUUAUACUUGUUGUGCUUAUUAUAUGUGCUUAUUGCAACUGAUGAUUUACAUAGGAAAUUUGCUCUACCUCAUCUAUCCAAUAAGUACUUUUCUCCACAUAUGAAAUAUGGUUGCUGUUGGUUUGAGUUUUCUCAAGUGAGCUAAAUUCCCUAUUUUGUGAUCUAUCCUUUUGAGCAAAUCUGUAAUCUAUUCCUAAAAGGAUAUAUAGAUGGAAAAAGAUCUCUCUGACAGAGGAAAAGCACAGGGAAAGGACUAGAGAUGUGUAUUUGAAGUGUUAUGACUUCAAUGGAGAAGUUAAAAAAUCUCAGAGCGUGGUUAUAUGUGAUCAACCUUAUUGUGUGGAACGGAAUGUUUUUCUGAGUAUAAGGCCGUUAGGUAUGAAGCGAGUUUACUAUAAUUGGAAUCUGGGUGAAUUCAUGAUAGAAUAGGAAAGUUGAAUUUGGUAUAUCAAAGGAUGACAAAAGUCAAAUCCAUGAGAAGAAGAGGGGAAAUUGAUGCUUGGGAUGAAUACAUUAAGUGAAUGUUACGGGUGGUAGUGAUGAGGGGAAAAGUAUUUUGGAAUUUAGAUAAUGUGGACUUGUGUAGAUCCUUGCGUUGCCACAGCAAGUAGGAUGAUUGAAUACAUAUUGAAGGUUUGUGCAAGUGAGAAUUUAGAGGAGAUUAAAUAUAGCACAAUUUGGAUCAUGCAUGAAUAUUGACUAUUUUUUCCCUUCAGAAUUUAAGAAAGAGACAAGAGAGUACUAUAGAUCUCUCCUUCAAGUGUUAUGACUUCGGUAGAGAAGUUAAAAAUCUUGAUGGUUUGUAGACCUGUUUGAGCCAAGUAGCCUACCUGGCUUGCUUGAGCCCGAAGCUUUUUAUGUAGUCUCGGGCCAAAGAUUUUGGCCCAACGAGUUGGGCCGAGCUUCAAAAAUAUUUCUAUUUAGCACCCAAACCUAGCUUAGGCUAGGGGAUUAAAGCUCAGUCCGAGCUCGGUCCAACUCGAAUUUUUUUUUGUUUUUCUUUUGUUAUUUGCUUAUGUUUGCUGUAUUUGUAGACUUAAUUGACAGUUGUUGUGAUAUAUGAAUUUAAUGGGAUAAUAAACAUGUUGUAUGUAGUUAGCAACAUUUAAUUAUUUACAUUUGCAUUUUAAAAUAUUUUAAGCAUUUUUAUUAUUUAAAAAAAAUAAAAAUAACUAUGACUCGGCCCAAAGCUCGAAGGGCCGAGCAUAGGCCUAGAAGGUAGGCUCAAAGGCCAGGCUAGGCAGGGCAUGCCGAAGUUUUUUUCUUUUCAACCUUUGGGUAAAGCCUGGUUUGAGCCCAACCAGGCUGAGCCUAUGAACAAGUCUAGUGGUUGGUUUUGAUCAACCAUUUUUUUGGUAUAGAAUGUUUUUUAUAAGAUCAUUGGACAUGAAGUCCGUUUACAAAAAUGGAAGCUGUGGUGAAGUUAUGGUAUAAUAGGGGAGUUAAGUUUGGAAUUAGUAUAUGAAAGGAUUAAUAGGAGUGCAUCAAUGACAAAAAUCAAAUCCAUGAUAAGAAUUGUGGAAAUUAAUGCUUGGGAUGAGUAUAUAAGUGAAUGUUAGGGUUGUAGUGAUGAGGGAAAAGGAUUUUAGAUAAUGUGGACAUGUUUAGAUCCUUGUGAUGCCAUGGCAAGCAGGGUCAUUGAAUUCAUAUUCAAGGAUUGUGCCAAUGGAUAUUUAGAAAGGGAGAUUAAAGAUAAUGUAUCACAGUUUAGAUCAUGCAUGAACACUAUCUUUUUUUCUGUUUAUAUUUUAAGAAAGAGAAGGGACAGGAGAAAAAAGAGAGCUUGAUCUAGUCUCUAAUCAAGAAUUUGAUCUAAUAUUCUUAAAUCAAUAGGAUUAAGUUGAUUUUCUGAAAAGUAAAUUAAAGAUGACAUUCGUCUGGAGAAUUUGGUUUUAGAUGGAACUAAGAGCGAAUUAUGUGUGCCUGGCUCCUUGCUCGCAAGUUGGUUUUUUUGUUAUUGUUUAUCUAUUGUGUUAUUUUUAUUAGUAUUACCUUCUCUACUUCUGUCGUUUCAUGCUUAAUUUAAACUUUAGUAUAACCUUUUGAAUCUUUAAGACAGCAAUUUAGCAGAAAGUGCUGCAUCUUUAAUUACUUAAUGUUGGAUAUCUUAUUAAAGGUGAAUUCCAUAUAUGAUUUACUUUCGCACUACUUGAUCUCAGGUGUAGUUUUUUCUUUACAUCUUUUACCAGGUCAUUGGUGGAAUACUCCUUUCUAGCCAUAGAUAUCUUUUUUUUACCCUGUAUAUCUUUUGAUUGGUAUUGUUAGUUGUGGCGAUGGAAGGUGCAUAUUUGAGCCCUAGAGAUAUUGGUGUUUUUAUGAUAUGGUUGGUUGUGCUUUAUGUGGUGGUGUCUGUUGCAUGUUUGAGAUUUAGUGUUAAGUGCUCUCUUAUGGAGGGCGGCCUUCUAGUUAGAACUAUUGCCUACCAUGUUAUUGCUCGCUAUGUAAAUUUCUCACAUGGUUUGUUGGUAGUGCUGAGGGGUGAAUUGUUGUUUUCCUGUAGGACAUCCUAGAGUUCUAAAAUAUCAGAUUGUGAUGUAGAAGAUGAUGGAUAUGACAGUGGUUAGCUUUGAGAGCUCUGCCUUUGUGGUAUAUAUGACAAUGUUAAGCCUGUUUGGUACUUUGUGCCUAUGCUUCUGUUGAAUAAUUAACAUAUAUUUCCAAGUAUCACUUUUAUAUGUCUACUUGGAACAAAUUCACUGUUCCUUUAUUGUCUUAUCUAAGGGCUGCAGACACCAGCAAGCAUAUUUUCUUUCUAGAAAUUUAAGUAUGAAACUGUGUUCAUGUGCUCUCUUGGUGCAUUUUGGCUGGUAUGUUUAUAUUAGAGGCAUGUUAUGGUGAAUCAUUGGUCUCAAGUUAUUUAGCAUAAAUAGGUUGAGCGGUAGAGCUUACAGUUGUUUCUUGUCCAAUACUUUGUCCGAUAUGAGUUCUUGAUUAGCAUAGAUUGCAUGGUACUAAUCUUCUAUUUCAAUAAAAAAAGCAGUUAGGUAAAUAGUCGGAAGCCAAAUAGGAUUUCUGGACCAGCUGAAAUGUCUAUUAGUAGUUUUCCCUAAGAUAAGAACAGCACUUAUAAAAGUUAAAUAACGUAGAAUUCAUGAUUGCAAUUUUCUUCUUCCUACUCCAGUCCUCUGCCACCUCCUUUCUAACAAUGUACAGCCUCUUUUUAUUCUGAAAUAUUUUCUGCUAUUUGUUCUAGACCCAUGGUUUUUAACAGUCAAUAGCAAUCUUUAUAUAUUUUCUUGUUUCUUUGAUGUUUCAGUAUAUGCGAAUAUGAAUAAAAGAUUUAGAGCACCUGUAAUUAGAAUUUCUAUAUGCAGUAUUGUUCCAAGAUACUAGAUAUUUUUUGGUGCUCAUACCUUUAGGAUUUUAGAUGAGGUGAUUUUGUGUAUCAGAUGUUUACCAAUAGCUCAUAGAAUCUCAUAGAAUCUUAAUCUAGUUUCAUGGUCCAAGUAUUACAAUCCUGAGCAUUCCUAGACUGCAAACCUUAUCAAAUAAAGGACUUUGGGUAGAAUACAGAUUUGAAGAUGCGUGUUUUCUUCUUCAUAUUUUUCUUGCGCAAGCAAGAUGCAUAUUCCUUUUUUUUCUGAUGCGUAUUCCCAUUUGUCUCAAAGAUAUUACUUACUUAUCUGCAUAAAGGCAUAGAAUUUGCAGCUUUUACAUUGUUCUUUGAUAAUUAAUCCGAGCAAAAGAAAAUAAUAAUUUUAUAAACCGAGUGUGCUCCAGUUACUUGCCAAUUUGCAAAUCUGCUUUAAUUUACCAGCUCAAAGGGUCAUAAUGUCGUGCAAAUUGGGUAGCUAAAGCCUGAUAUUCUAUUCACAAAGCAUGAAAAAAAUGUCGUUAGCCCGGCAAUGUCUUUAUCGCAUCCUCUUUUGCCAAUAUUUGUUUUUCUAUAUUUACUUUUUUUAGAUAUUUUUUCUUAAGUUUAUAACUUCUCAUUUCUCACGUUUCUUUAUGUAUACUUUUAGUUAUUUCUCGUAGCGAUAGCAAUGGUUAUAAUGUUGACCAUAAAAUUUGUUUUCUGAAAUAAUUUGUGCGGGCAGGGCAAUAUAUUUCCUCGGCUGAUGGAUAAAAUCUCUCCUGCCACCAAACCUAUCGUCCCAUUUGUUUCAUCAUUCUGAGAAUCAUUAGGAGCAGCGUGACAGGUGUAAUAAAUGCUUGUGCUAAAAAUCUCAAUGCAUGCUCGUAGAAGAUAAUAUUGCCAGCUUGGAAAAUGACAUUUGAGAGAUGACCCCGAAUUGCAUUUAUGUUGCAGGGCAUAUAUUCUUGGCUGCCGCCGAACAAGGGGGAUGUGUGAGAGAAGACAACGAUAGCUGUCAUCUUCAUAUGAUGGAUUAUUUUCUAUUAUGCUUUAUAUAACUUGAUAAGCUACUUAUUUUUAUAUAGAUAUUUUUCUUAUUUUUUCCUUCCUAGGUCUAAAGAGGGUGAUAAAAGAUAAAGAUGUCGGCCUUUCAUGUAUACAAUUAAGGACUCAUUUAUUUGGUUCGUGGAACAAAAAAAUUUUGCUACAAUAUUUUUUUUGGAAACAUAAUUUUUGAAAAUAUAAUAUUUGAAAAAGUGGUUUUAGCAUAUGAAAAAGUGGCAUUCUAAAGUGAUUUAUAUUUUAUGGAGCACCUAUUUUUUUAAAAAAGUUGUAUGAAAUAUCUAUUAUACAUUUACAAUCUUCAUAGAUUUUGAUGGCUUAAAAGUAUUUUUGGAAAAAAAAGGAUUUCAGUUUUCAAUUAGUAAAAAAGUAGCUUUUUCAUGUCUUCUAUAAAUUUAUGAAAUAUAAAAAUUUUAUUUGUAUGAAAAAUUUUUAACUAAAUAAAAAGUAUUUUUUGUUUUUCUGUCAAUUACAUUUUUUUUUGUUUUUCUUUUUCUCGGGAACCAAAUGAGUUCUAAACACUUUUGCAUUUAAGUUGGAACUUUUGAACCAGAACUAGUUCAAAUUUCAAGAUUUAUAUUAUAUUAGGUAUAACAUAGUUACAUAGCAAUAUUAAGAACGUCCCAAUAAAUUUUGGCUCUUGCAAGGCCAAGUCGUGAAAUGAAGAUUUAUACUAUCACCGCAGUUGGUGUGCCGAGACUAAUUCAAAAUUGAUGCAGAGAGCUAAAGAAUUGCACGUAAAAUUCGUUCGAUAAGGAGAUUUUCAUGUAAAACUUUUUAUGUUAAUCUUGAACUAGUCCCGGCAUCCGGCCGGCCGAGAGGCCCGAGACUGGUUCAAAACUGACGUGAGAAGUUUUCAUCUCCUCUCUCGCUCAAGCGGUACAACGCGGAGUACUGGCUGCGGGGGAUUCUGAAGACAACCGAGGGGUCGAGGUGGCCCCAUUCAUUAGGAGGCAAGAGGGAGGUGGUAUCCUGGAGCAGGGGCUCGGACGCCUGAAGGAAAUCCUCUGAGCGAGAUCAUGUGGUAGUCUUGACUGAAAUCAAUCUGCUUCUCAAAUAAUUUGACGUUCGAAUCUCGCAAAGCAUGCAGCAUUGAAGUACUUUCCUUCCAAGUACUAGUAGAUUUAUUUCGGUCAAGAAAAUGUCUACUUGCCACCAAAGUCUAUCAAACAUAAAAGAACGGGAACCUUAGAUUAUGCCACAACAUGCCUAGAUCAGAUACUACUGAUAAUCUGGGGUUUACGACAUGAAGAAGUGACAGUAGCAUUCAUUUCUUCUGCCUGAUUACCAAUCAGAUUAUAGAAAAUAUCAGGUUGUUGCUUACAUGGAUUAAGGAAUCAUGCACAUUAUAGUAUUGAGUUAGAGACUUUGCAGGGUAGGAUAUAUUGAAGGAGAUUACUGGUUGUCUCAGACAAUGUUAAGAAAGUAAAUGGAGGCCAAGAAAAUGACCACUUCAGGAUUAUCCCUCACAAAAAUAAGAUGGCUCUGUUGAAGGAUAUUGACAAAACUAGAAUCUGGAUGUUACUUAGAAACAUCUGCAUUGGAACCAUCAAAGUAAUUCUGAUAAGAGGUUUUCAGCUGCAACAAUGGGAGGUAGUUUAUCAUAUGCUUACAACAAUUCAAUUAUCUGCGUCAUAGGAAGAGCAACUGUUUCAUAAGCAAGUUUCUGAACUUAAUAAGUUCCUUCUUGACUGUCAUCAAGCUCUAAAGUAAUUAUUUCAAAUGCCUCUUAAAGAGGAGAAACAUGUGCAGCCCAAAAAAAAGGGAACAAAUGUAGAUGAAGGGAGCGAUGCCUGAUUUGCUAAGAUUUCAAGUUCUCUAUAUAUCAAUUUUUAAAUGAAACAUCUGCAAAAACCUUUCACAUACUAAAAUUUGAGGUACGAGAAGAGUUUGCUUAUAAUUGAUCUUUGGUAGGAAAUCAGCUAUUUGGAUAGCAGAGCCUCCUACUGUUGCAUAUUUAAGUUAUCUCCUUCCUAAGAAAUCUUAUCAGGAGAUGGCUUGCUAUGAACUCUAAUUAUAACAUCAUACCCUUUCACUUGUUGAAGCAGGCAGAGAUUGGCCUUCACUAUGCCCGGUGCGUUUUACGGGCUAGGUCUAUCAUCCUGGAGGGUGAUUCAGCCACAGUUAUUAGUUGGAUCCAAGAGGUCCAAGGGGUGGCGGGUGUGACCAUCCCUUGCUCCGUGACAUUUGGACCAUGGCAAGGGAUGGAUGGGCCUUCCAGGCCACGCAUAUUUACCGUAAAGGUAACGGUGCUGCGGAUUGGGUAGCUGCGUUUGUAGCUUGUCACUCCGGAGGUACCUUAUGGUAUGGUGUUGGGGAGCUGCCCUUGGCACUCCGAGGUAUUCUAUUUUUUGACUUUAUUGGGUCUAUCCGCUCACGCCGGGUAUGAUCGACCCGUACUAGCCAAAAAAAAGAAAAGAAAAAGAAAAAAGCAGGCAGAGAUUGCAGGGGUUAAGAAGCACUUAGAAAACAGAAUAUGCUUCAGCACAUGAAUCUGAAAAAUUCUAGAUAAAUACUGAUACUUUUAUGGUAAAAAUAAACUUAGGUAGCGUAAAAGUAAAUUCAGUGGGAAUCCUAUCAGCUUCCAGAGGAGAUGACACUUGAUCCUCUUCCUGAAAGAUUGAAAUAUCUUUUCUUCUUCACUGGCUUUUAAUGGGGAUGCAAGGGCUUUAGAUCUACAUGGAUGCCGAACUAAAGUAUCCAGUAAAAGUCAUUCUUAACAGUAAACGAAGAUAGUGCUUGAAAUUGGAAGACUCCAUAAAUUCGAGAUGUUGGAAUUUUUCCAGUUUAACCUUCUAGUGAUUCUUUCUGAUGAACUUUAUAUUCCUCAUCCAAGGUCUCAACCCUCUCUCCUCUCGAACUAAUUGAACUUGUGGAAAAAAAAGUCAUCCUUGAUAACAAGGAACAGCAUGUUCAACGUUUNNNNNNNNNNNNNNNNNNNNNNNNNNNNNNNNNNNNNNNNNNNNNNNNNNNNNNNNNNNNNNNNNNNNNNNNNNNNNNNNNNNNUUCAUCAUUGCUGCUCAUAACUGGAGCUUAAGAAUAUGAAAUGAAAGGAGCAAUCAAGCAGCUUCAAAUCAACAGGAAUUUGGAUAUAUUGUAUUGUUUUCAACACACUAUAAUAUCUUCUUUAAACCACCUUGGUUUGUUACGGGUUUCAUAUGUUCUUGCUCUAUAAAGCUUUUCUUUUCCCUCCAAAUGAUUUUGGCUUCUAGAUCACUUGCUUUUUUCUUUAGCAAAUGAAAAUCUAGACACUGUUGCAUACGUUUAAAACAAAUAUAUGGUUGCCGCAUCUUAUGCAUACUUAUAAUCGCUAGAAUUGCAAUCUCUUCAUAUAUAUGAAGAAAAAUUCAAGAGCUUAUAUCCUAUGAGCAUGCAAGACCUGCAAAUCAUCAUUGUUAUCCAGCCACAAGAAUAUGUUCUUUCGCUAUAAUCAAUAAUUUCAACAUGGGUGCUAAUUGACAUUGAUCAAGUAUGAUGUCUACAAGAUGCUAUGAGACUUCUGAGUUACCUUUUCGCAAUAUAAAUGUCCAGAAUGUUUUGCUCUCUAACCCCACCAUAAGAUUAAUCCUUCUCUGUUUGGUUAAUGUAUUGAUAGUGCCAAAACAACAAUUUUCUUUUCGAUACUUUGAAAACUGGUAUUAACAAAUUAAUUUAAGAGCAUGCUAAGUGAAGCUUGGUAAAAAGAAAAUUAUGUCUCCCUUUCUACAACAGCUGAUGAUCCUCACAGCGGAUGCAAUAUUAUUCAAGUAGUUCCAAUAUGAGACUGGAGUUGAAAAGGGCGAAGAAUGUGCUUGAACAAGUGUGACCAUGUAGAGAAAUCAAGAAAUUGAAGCAACAGCUCUGUUAGUACAGCUAAUGAUCCUCGCAUCAGAUGCGAUAUUAUUCGUGUAGGUCCAAGAUGAGAUUGGAGUUGAAAAGGCAUAGAAUGUGCUCGGAUCAAAGCGACCAUGUAAAGAAAUCAAGAAAUUGAAGCAAGAGGUCUGCUAGUUUGAUAAAUCCAAUUUGCUAAACAUCAUACAUUUCAUUCUUGCAAAGGAAAAACAUAGUAUGCACAAAAUCAGACACAAAUUUGCAGCAAGUAAACCAUAACUCCGGCGGGAUUUCAAUUCAAAAGAAUCUAGAGUGACCACACAAGUUUUAUCAAAUUAACAAAAAGAAGCAACAAAUAACUACAACAAAACUAGGCCUCUAUCGGUGCUAUUUUUUUCUCUUUUUCAUGUUGCUACUUCAGUUUUCUUUCCAUCAGUAUGGUGGUGGAUAAUAUCCCGGGUAAGGUCCUGCAAAAGAGUCUCUCACACACAGUCAAUAUCAUGCUCAUGCAUCCUCAUAUAAUGAUACAAAGCAAGGUACAUUGCUUGUUCGAAGCUUACCUGGUGGAUAGUAAGGCUGUGUUGGUGGUGGAGGGGGAUACUGCUGCACGUAUGGCUGCGGCGGAUACAUGGCAGGCGGGCACGGCUGCUGUGGGUAAGCCGAAGCCUGAUACAGAGAAGGAUCAGGAGGAGGAUACGAACCGUAAGCGCCAGCUCCGGGAUAAGUCCCAGCCGGUGGGUACGAAGGAGCAUAGGGAGGAACAUGUGGUGCUGCAGGGAUGUUGUAAUGUGGGGCAGAUGGAGUGCUGCUUUCUGCAGUCUUCUUCUACUUGUUGCAAUGUCAGUAGAAGAUCAGAGGUUAUGUUAGAUCUCUCUCUCUUUUUCUCUCUCUCUAGAUGUCAUUAUAAUCACAGGCAUCAAUCAAGAAAGGUAGCACGGAGAUAUCGUAAACUUACUGAUGCAUUCGGGAAAUGCAUUAUGAGUUUCACUUCUCCAGCAUACCUGGAUAUUGAUCAUGGAGAAAUUUCACUGAUGAAUCUUAGACUGAAGAUAAUCUGUUGAAUGAAUGAGCGAGGGUGCACGCACCUGGGACUUCGCGUCUGGAUUGGCCAAGAAGAGUCGUCGUAGCCUUGAGAGAGGACUUUCUGCAACUGAACCCUGAACAGGAAUCGAAAUAGAUCAGCGGCAACAUAGAUAGCGUUAAAAAUGGCAAUUUCCUCAAGGUGAACUUCGCGUGGGUGGUUGGUGCGGUGUCGGCUUUAUCAUCAGAGAUCAGCAGACCAAACUAGUGGCAGCUGGGAGUCGGCGCAUCUUCAACCAGACUGUCGACAGUACUGAGUUGAGAGCAGCAUGGGAGGGAGUAUACUAUGCAAGACGGGUGCUGAGGGUCGACCGCCUUAUCAUUGAGGGAGAUUCUACCACAGUAAUCCAGAAGAUCUAGGGGACCAGAGGUGCUGAUAGGGGACUGCGACUGCUCCACGACAUUCACCGUCUGCUAGGUAAAUACAUCUUCCAUCGGGCCUCUCAUGUCUACAGAAAAGGCAAUAGUACAGUAGAUUGGAUGGUCUCCUAUGCAGCUUAUCAUCCAGACGACUUCAUCAGGAUGGAUUAGACUUCUGUCCCGUUUUCCUUGCAGCCUAUUUUACUUUUUGACUUUUUGGGCACUGCUCAGUGUGAGCAGUCGAUGUACCAAAAAACAACAACAACAACAAAAAAAAGAGCAUGAAUGCCGAAAGGCGGACCUGCCGCUGCCAAUGAAGUCAUCGGCGGUGAAGGUGUUGCUGUUCCAGACGAUGAUGCUGAUCUCGCGGAGGCCUUCGAUGAGGGGAAUCCGGAACUUGUCUUGGAAGGUGGGGUUUCUGCCUCCAUCUGGCCAUUAAUUUUCCAUGAUCAGCGGAGCCAAGAGAUAAAAAGAUAGGAACUUUGGAGAUAAUGGGUACCGGUGCAGGUGCGGGUGCGGAACUUGGAAUUGGCGUACUCGAGGCAGACGUAGGGAUCCUGCCGGGAGAAGAGCUCGGUGUCCCUCAACUUGCUGCACCCUACCACUGCGGGCGCCCACAAGUUCAUUAGCAGUAGAAAUUUGAGAAUUCUACAGGCACAAAAGAAAAGGGAAAGCUUUGGUCAUUGUUUGGUUGAGUUGAGUACCUGUGAUCUCGAGGAUCUGGGCUUGGAUCCCAGAGACGGUAGACAUGGGAGAGUGGGAAGGAAGGCGUUCGACGGUAGAGCCGAGACAAACAAACAAAAGAGAAAAGGCUAUAUGACAAGGGAGGGACGGAGAGACUGCGGCGUGGAGUCGACCUAGCCGGAGUCGAGGAUUUUAUUAAUCCAGCAGGAUUUUAUUUUUCUUUAUAACGAAACUUCCGCAGGAAUCGUUAGACGGCCGUGUCGGAAGUGAAUAAAUAUAGCAAACUGAGAGGAGCGGGCUCAUAUUUUAUUAAUUAUUUUUAAAAUUUAUUAGAAUUUUUUAAUAAAAUUAGAUUAAAAAAUUUAUAAAUUGAGUUGCUAAUCGAAUUAGGCCUCCAUGCAUAAAAUAUCCAAAUAUAGCUUUGAAUAUGGCCGCCCGAAUUCCAUGAGAAGCACACAAAAAAAAAAAAAAUCAGCUGAAAAUUUAUGGCUCUGCAUCAUAUUUGUUAUUUAUUGUCACAAUAGUAACUUUCAGAACAUUAAUGUUCUUUUUAGAAAAAUAUUUUUUUUAAUAACUAUAUAUAGGAAGAGAACUUUCAUAAGAAAAAUAAUCUUUCCAAAAAAAGCUUUAGGUGCCAUUUGGCAUCAUUUUCUUUUUCCUAUUCUCAAAAAUAAAAAGAUAAUAAAAUUCUACUCUAUGUAAUUUUUAUGGAGAUAUCGUUCCAUUUGGCAUCUUCAAAGAAACAAUUGAACUAUUAAAUGUCUAUGAAAACAUUCUGAUAGCCGUACCAUAGCGAUGGCAAUUUUAUGGAUGCUGAAAUUUCUUUUGGACUGGGGCCAAGCGGGAGAUGGUGACAAAUCUUCCGCCUGUAAGCCGGAUUCUUGUCGCUUAGCUCUCCAUGGUGGAUGACGCCCCAUCGAUGCUUUCGGCAGAAAUGAAGCGACGCCGCCGUUUGAGACCAGGCCUAUACACGGUUGCUUCUCCGGGGAAGCCGAUAUUUUGAUGGAUAGAUACAUGACCUCAGCAAUGCAAUCCGAUUUCGUGCUUGCAUACGCGAUUGAUUGAUCAUUUAAUUUGAUGAAAGGUUCUCAUAAACUGAUGCGAAUAUUUACCACCACUUGAUUCCUUAUGUUGAAACUGGGAAUUCAUAUGUUGGAUACGAAUUUUUCCAAAGACAGGACUUCCUUAGCGUACAAUAUUUGGCACUGCUUGAUCUUCAAAUCGCAAGAUUCAUAGUUAUUUUUGUAAUAAACUAAAGGGAUGGGAAUGCGGGAUUUUUUUUCUUUUUUUUUUUGGAGGAAUACAAGUUCAAUUAAUUGAAAGCAGGAAAACCAUAAGAUGUUGCGUUCCGUUAGAAACGGUCUCCUCUCUUUAUCCAAUAUUCCAUUCCCUUGGUUUAUGCUGAUCAUAUAUACAAAAAUCCUGUACUUAUAUUGAGAUGAGACCCAAUUGCCCUUAACAGUCAUCAAGGAUCAUAACUUUUAUUUCUUGCGUUCUCUCUUUCGAGAAGGCGCGAGGGAUUCAGUAGGGAAUUGUCCAUUCCCGAAGGAAAAAGAAUAUGUCAUCUUCUUUUUGAAGGACAUUUGCUCCAGAGACCAGCCGGAUCCGCGAGGAUAGAGUUGUCGUUUUAUCUUUACCACAACUGUACCGACCGCGUAUUGUCGCCUUGAAGGGUAAAGAGUAGGUAACAAUUCAAACUCUAACAACUUCGAGUUCUCUCUCUCUUCGCGUUUCCAGGUAGGGGGUUUUCAGUUGGGUGGUAGGUUCUCGCUAGUCACCACAUGAGCCUGUGUCCUCACCAGAACUACUGCCAAAACCAAAGGCUUAACCCAGACGCCCAUCAAAUUGCCUGCCAAUACGUGCAUGCACGCAAGCAGGCACCUCUCAGGCCUGCAGCCGCAUGCAACUGGCAUUACGUAGCUGAUUAAAGCACUGCAUCCUAUGUGCCAAAUACAUACUGAAAUGCAAUACUCACAAGAAAGAUGGGGUCGCUCAUCGAAUCCAGAAGUAGCAUCUCCCAUUGAACGUUAAGCCUUUUUUUGGAGCAGAGAUCAUAAUUUUCCAACCUUUUCUUCUUCUUGCUCACUUUUGCAACCAACUUUAGAAAUUUAAAAAUGACCUCAUGUGCAAGAAGCUGCAGUUUUUGCCAAUAGAGCAUUACCAAUUGCAAAAUGCACUGCCCACGCACGAAUGCAACUUAUCUUGUAACUGAAUAAUAAUUAAAACGAGGAGGCAGAAAACCACCUGUUUCACCAAGCAUUGCCCUUCUGCCAGGGUCAAAUCAUUUCAUAAAUUUAACAUCAGGAUUCCUUCUGGUCUGCCAAAGGGAGACCAGGGAAAUACAAUAGGAAGAAAUAAUGCAUCUUUUACCCCUGGGAAUGCAUUGAUAGAUUAAUUCAUUAUCGUCAGCAUCUGAAGAUAAAGAUGCAUCAAGUUGUUCCACUGCUGGGAACGCUUUCGUCCUCGGAAGAAGAAGCUGCUCUCUUCCCAUUGUAACGCUGAAAUGAGCAACCAAUGGUCAAGAAUAGCAUAUCAGUACGAAGUAGAUAGCCAUUCAACACGUAUGAAGCUCAAGUUACCUGUUUUCCCGACGAGAAGGGAACAUAUUUGUAUUUUAUCAUGUGAAGUAUCUGCCGCUUCAUCGUCACUGUGAAUAGGACCAACCAGUAGAAGAGUAGAAUAGGCCAAAACACAGGAACAUCGAACAUACUGAAGAAUGUCAAUAUGAAAGCAAUACAGAAUGCUUUUGUAAUGGAAUACCUGCACAUGGAGAGAAAAGAGGGAUUGAAUGCUUAUUACCACAUCUGCCAACCACCGAGUGGCAUUAGGAGAAACUAGAAUGCAGACUGCAUAAACAAAACAGACAUAUCUUUUCCACUGGUUUUCUUGGAAAGACAGUAUCUCCAAUGAUCAUACAAUCCCAACAUUUCUGCAAUUAGUAUUGAACCUCAACUCCAAAUGGCUUGCAAAUGAUUUUUUUUUUUUAAGGAUAAAAGUGAAAAUGGAUCUCUCCGUUUGGGGACAAUUUAGUGUCUUCUAUCAGAUGCAUAGUAUAUUUAUAACAAAUAACUUUUGUUUUUACAAUGAUGAUUUAGACAGGAUGACAAGAAUAGGCAACAUUCACUCCCAACAAGGAAACAAAAUGCAAAAUAAACAAUUCUGCAACCAAACUUUACCAAUGAACAUAUCUUUCUGGCCGCAAGUUUGCACCAUAAUCAGUAUACUACUCCUUUAACAAAUAAGAAACUUGUAAUACAAACUGAGAUAAUGAAUCUCUCUGAGUUACCGUUCACAAUCUAGGCUGAACCAUCUCUUCAGCCACCAAAAAAGUUUAGGGGAAAAAAUAGAAGCACAAAAGUCGAUAAUCUCCUAUAAAGAAACAAAAUGUGAGUCCAAAAUUGUGGUCUUCUUAUUAAUGUUCGCAUUCUAAAGAAAAACCAAACUUUAACAAUGAAUAUUUGUCUAUCUUACAAAAUAUGAUUCCAGAGUUUUAUAUCGGUCUUAUUAAUGUUUGUGUUCAAUAGAAAAACGAAACUUUAACAAUGAAUACAAAUCAAUCUUUAAUGUCAAACUAUGAUCGGUGCACUAUUACUCAUGCAUAUAUGCAUGCAUACAUGAGACUAAUAAUUUAAUCGAAUUUUGGUUGGUUAACUUUUCUUUCAAAGAAAUCCAUGAAAGCUGAAUGGCAUGCAGAAGACAAUCUUUUCAAAUGACCAUAUACUUGCACAACACCACACAAGUUCGGUGCUCUGGGACUGCCCUAAUCCAACAGAAUGCACAAGGUAGUGGCACAAGGUUCAAGCGUGUUGCUCACAAACUUUUUCAUCUUGAGCAUGAAAUUUGUCCAUUUAUUAUCAACUGAGAGCAUUAUGGAUGCACCUAAACCAUACUUGCUGUAAACCUCCUAUUUUGGUAAUGGAUCUGAUAUCAUGUAGCUCCAGGAAUCCAGGAAUUACUAUCUCUAUUAACAGUGGCUGACCAUUGCUGAAAGAGUGUGUGCACACUGUGUCACCACAAAUAACACAGUAUGGUCCAGUAAUACUGAUUGGCAUGUUUAGCAUAAUACUAGGUACACCACCAUCUAAUUCUGCCACAGGAUCUAAGCCUUUAUCUAAUAAAUCUUGCUAUGACAAAGAAAGUCAUACACACUCUAAGAAAUAGAGAACUCCACUUCAGGAUCCUAUAGCAACUUUCAUAAGGUGAAUCUUGAAUUGCCUACUCAGUCCUUAGCCACUUAGGCAGCAUCUGUAUGCAGCGUGCUGCCCAGCAAGCACCUAAGCAACAUGCAAGGGCUUGGACAACACAGGUGGGUCAAGUUUGGACAAUCUUUAGAGAUUAGGAGGCAAAACUUAGAGAAUUAGGCAAACCAAAUGGACAGAUCGUAACCAAUUCGAUCUCUUUAAUUGGUGCUCUAAUAACUUACCUUAGUUACAACACACAAGUUAAAAUAAUUUAUCAUAAGUAAUUUAUUUAUUAUCAAUUAUUCCUCAUUUGUAGAGUUGUUUGCUGCAAAAACAUGGCUCAUUGGAAAUGUCUUUCAGAUGAUUAACCACAUCGCAUGACCUGCAGUUGAAAUAUGUUACCUUACUAGUUAAAAUGUAUGUUUCACUGAUAGGUUAUAAAUAUUUUCCUUCCGUGCAUCUUUCACAACAUUUUGUUAAAAGAACAAACUGAAGUCUGUAUAGGAUCCAAAUCUGCAAUCAAAGGCAAACGGCUCCUACAUGACAACACCCAAGAAAAGUGAUGUUGAGGCGUGAUGCUGCAUGUUCUGGGAGGAACUAUGAAUGGAAAAUCCACGACUAGAUACUUCUAUGCUCAGUGCCUAGAAGAUAUCAUUUCCCUAACUAAUUUAUAUUGACUAUUGUUAGAAUCUUGUGAUCCACAAUUUAGACCGAUGAACAGGACCAAAUGGCUUUACAUCACCCAGAUUUGAUCCUUGGAUCAAUGUCAAAUUGGAUCUUGCAAUUUCCAUCAUAGAUUGUACGACCUCAUGGAUUAUAAGAUCAAACCAGUAUAUAUUUUAUACAUUCUAAACUUGGGAAGUCUAUCCAUUUACGAUCCACUAAACUUCCUUGACUUUCACAAUGACUAACCAACCAAGACAUACAUCUGGGAAUUUGUGGUUUUAAACUUUCAAGAGUAGAGGAAAUGAUAGGAAGCUAGAAAGUCCCAGAAGUAAAAUUUCAUGUCCUUGCAAGUAUCAUAAUGGGCGGUCAUUUGAGUAUCUAUACAACAGAAUUGCCUCAUGACAUCUAGGUGACCUUCGGUUGAUCAUCAUAUAUACAUAAACACAAAUAUACAUAUAUAUAAUUACAUAUAUAUGUAAGUAUCUAUAAUAUAUAGUCCACACGUGUGCAUGGAUGCAUGCACACACACAUAUAUAUACAGACAUACAUAUGAGUGGAUGCAUGUAUUUCCUCGUAAUUUCUUUUCAUGAAUGACAAGUGGAUGCUAAUGAGUGAAUGGAUUAGAUCAUCAAGAAAUAUCACUUGCAUUAAAAAAAGUUAAACAACUUAAGCGUUAAGACUUAACAAGUUCCCCCAAAAGUUCAUUUGAAUCCUUGUACUCUUAAUGUUUAUGUAUAAGUAGCACAAAAUUUACAAACUAGAACAUGGAAGAAUUUCUAGCUGUUUAUAUUCAGCAUGUAAUGUCUUAUGGAGUGUUCAAUAUUCUUAUUGUAACAAUAUUACAAUCUCGUAACAUAAAUGUAGUAGUUGAAUAUAUGAGUUAUGCAAAUUUGUAUUAAGCCCAUGCCUAGUUGAUAGUCGAGGCACCAAGGUGAUAUGGUAGGCACAUCGCUUGGGGCCACCUAGGCUAUUUGACAACCACGGAGACUAUAUUAUAUUUUCCAAAUUCUGGCUUCCCUUUUCCCUACGAUCUUUGAUUUAAAAGGAAAAUUGACUUGAUGCAAUUGGAGGGAUGAAACAUGUUUUCUUGGAAGACAUAGUAAUAAGAUAACUCUUAUAUGUAAAGAAAAGAAAACAUACAGCUAGAAUGUUGUAUAAGACUUAACUAGUGGAUGACAAAAACAAAGUUCUAUUCCUAAAGAAACAAGCAGAAGCAAAGGAAGCAAUUUUAUAUAUCAUAUCCUACGAUCAUGAUAGUGAUGGUGAUGACACAUUUAUCAUUUUAAUUUGCUCUGCAUGCCUAUAUCAGCAAACAUUUUUCAACACACUGAGAUAUCCUAUAAUAUCAUGGAUAUAAUUUUUUUGGACCUGCCAUAUGUUGACUAUAUGGAUGUUGGAAAGAAGACUCCUUAUGUCCCUAUAUGAUGGCAUCAUUCUCUGUCCAUCCAAGUUACAAGUUAUUCAAGUUUCUUAAUUUUCACUUUUAAUUUCCAUUUUUCAAUGUUUAAAAGAAAUUAGAAAGAAUUUUAAGCUUCGCAAUCUGAUCCAUGGUCCAAUCUAUAAUGACGCUAUAAACUUUAGCAUGUGAUCUCAAUAUUGACAAUAUUGCUUACAUUUAGGAAAUACCAACUAGUAAGCCCAUAUAUGGCAAAGCCAAUACCAAUUAGGUGGGGCCAUUUUGUACUUGGAAGUUCUGGAUGCUGGAUGCUCCCCCAACAACAUGAUUACUGAGUGACACUAUACAAAGUAAAGUUGUCUUCAUUCACCACAAAGCAUAAAUUUCUUCAUGGCAAGAAAGUUGAGAUAUGAAGGUGAAAUCAUAAGGUGAGGGAAGCAAACACUAAAUCAAAUAUGACUUCAUUUCCAACAAUUCCUACUCAAAACUGCACAAAAGUCCCUCCCUUACCCUUACCAAUUUGAGCUGCUUGUGGGCUCAUAGCCCUACUUUAAAAAAACAAAAAGUUACAAUUAGCAAUUGACAAACCAAAACCCUUUUUGGAACCAAACUUAUAUUUUGGUAAUGGCAUAAGAGGACAAUACCUCUGACACAGUCACCUACAAAUUUGCACAUUGGGAUACACUUAAACAAUAAACUAGAUAAGCAAAAGAAGAGGUCAAAACCAUUGCCUCAAUUGGAAAUUCAUGGAGAUGGAGGCUUACCAACCACCAUAACACAAUUUUGUGAUGAUUGAUUUUCAAGAUGUGGGUUAAGAACAUUGAAUUUCUUCCGAUUCACUAACAUGUCGAAGGUGGCAUCUUCAUAACUUGAUUAGAUCGAUGCCAUUUAAUGCGAGCUCUAUAUAAGGACUCAUUGGUUUAGGGCAAAGGGUGAUGCAAGUUAAAGAGAAUGGGGUUUUGAUAUCCAGAAAUAUAGGAUAUGAGAGGCAUCCCAAUGCAUGAAACUCCCGCCAUUGCAAGAUUUCGGGAGGGUUAAUUGUACACAGCCCUCCCCUCAUGUACAGAGAGGCUAUUUCCGCAUUUCAAAUCCAUGACACUCCUAUCACAAUGAAGCAACAUUACUAUUGCGCUAAGGCCUGCCAUUAGAAGUUACAGGAUAUAGCAAAUCUAGAAUUGAAACUUCAGGGUAAAAAAAUCAAGACUAAAGAUUUGGGCUUCUAGAUUUGUUUUAUAGAAUAGGUUUUAAGGAAUUGAAAGAAUUUCAGUUCUAGACAGACAGGUUUUCAUGAAUGUUGCAUGAACUCUCAUGCCUAUCUAAAGGAAUUGGAAUCUUUUCACAAGUCACAAGGUCAAGGCUGGUCAACUUCUUGAUAACCACUAUAACUAAGAAAGAUGAAGCGAAUUUUAGAAGUGAUAUUCAUGAAAAAACAAACGUGAUGUCUGGUAUUCUGGUUACAUCAGCAUGAUCUCUAAUCUAAUAAAGAAUCAAAGAAAGACGAGUAGAUGAAAAAUUGGAAUUUUAAUAUCAAAGCUAGUGAUAGCUUUGAGUUUAAAUAAGUACACAUUUACAAGUUUAAUUAGCAAUUUACUGCAGGGAAAGUGAAAUGUUCUCAAAUCAGACCUGUCACAGAUCUGGGCAAUACUGAAAGCAAGUGCUUCAUGGUGGAGGAAGAAAAAAGAAGAAUGAAGAAGAAGAACUGGAAAGAGAAAAAGUGAAAGAGGAAGAAAAAACAUGGUAGCAGACCUUCCUACCGAUCUUCUGCUAAAUAAUUGCAUCUACAUUGCAGAGAGCCCCUUCUUUUAUCAUAGAUCCAAUCAGUGCUCAAAUAUAGAGAUGAUAUCCAACUAGAACUAAAAAAAGAAAUAAAAUUAAUUACAUCUUAGUCCUGGGUAAACCACGUGGAUUCUCUUGGAAGUAUAGGAAGCAGACAAACAAUUGUAAAUCUCUAGGAUAGUCGGCAGGCCAUUCUAUCUCCACUUCAAAUCCCAAGACAUGCUAGAAAGGCUUAUUUGUCAUUUUAACAUACAUGAAUUAGCAAUUACCUUCCAAGAUCCUAACAGGCCUCCUAUUUUAGUUUUCAACUUAUCAAGUGACUUAGAAUUCAAUUUUCUAUCAAGCAUUGCCUUCUCCAUGAUCAUCUGAAUUUUUUCCAAAACUAAAGGUACCAUAGAUAGUUGCUUCCCAAUUGCACAGGCUAAUUUAAGUAGCAUGGCCUCUAAUUUCCAACCGACCUUUAAGUUUUCAUGGUAGGCCUCUCUCUCGCUUAAAAUUACCUUGAUUAGCAACUAUUAUUGGGAAUGAAUGUCAAAUUGAGGACCAGCCAUAAAACAUUAUCAAAACUUAAUAAAUUAUAAUGCCUAUUCCAAAGAGCUGACUCCAUAUAAAUGGAAUAAAAGCUAGUUUCUAAAUUAUAAACCGACAUGCCAAUUGUCUUUUUUAGGAUCCAUUCUUUUUUGUGAAACUUAUGUCACACUUUCUUGCCCACAAAAUGUCCUUUAAAAUUUCUUUAAAGACUAUCCUUGAUCUGUUAAACAUCAUUCCCAAACCCAAACCCAUCUUCCACUCCAUAAUAUGUUUUGCAUGCUCUUAUUUGCACGUUUAGACAUAAUGAGAACCAAAAUAUAUCAAUCAGUUCUUUCCAUCUUCCAGUCCAUUAUUAAACAAACUUUUUUUAUCACAAAGCAUCUACCAUGCUUAUAUGUGAUCCUCCCAAGUGGUAGACUUGUUGUGCCAUCAACAUCAUAUCACUGUCCUGCUAAUCUUUCUUUGAACCCUAUCAUCAUCUCCCUUCAUGAUUCUUCACUCCAACUUCAUAAAAUCUGAUGCAUUCCCAUAAAUUUUCAGUUUGUGAUCUUAUUACAAGCCCUCAUGUUAAAUGCAAUGCAUCCAAGUAUACCCUUGACUAGCUGUAGGCCUUCUCUAUCGUUUAGAUUGAUAAUCCAUUUUGAUUUUGUGCUUUCCUACUCUCUUUAUUCAAAACUCUGCUUGCUGAUUGUCGAUUAUUAUUUACUGGAUUCAUGCUUUAAACAUGAUCAAGAUCCACUAAUAUGUUCUAGUAAAUGAAUUUGAUAAGAGUUCCAUCUUUGCUGCUGGAUUUCAUACGUCUCCAGCUAAGUUAUCAGAUUGGGGCUGACAUGUUACUGAUCUUAAAGUUAAGAUAUUAGUAUUAGAGGUUUUCUAGUUUAACAUCAGGAUUCUAAGAAACCCUAGGAUUCCUUGAACAAUCAAAUGUUCUGUAAUCAUACCAUCCCCCCUGUUUGGCAUGGGACGGGACUAGGUUAGAGUUAGAAAGCUAAAUAGGGCAUACUGUAGACAAGAAAUUGUAUGUUUAGUUGGAUUUUCUAUGAUAGUAUAAGAGUUUUCAGAAUACAACUUGUAAUUCACAUCAGGAGAUUAUCUAAAUAUUUUGUCAUCUGCCAUCAAAUCUCCUUUUAUGCUUCCCUCUUUGCAUCUUAUCUUCUUCUACGAAGAGGAAAAGAAAACGAAACUACAAAACGAUGCUGGAAGAAAGAAAAGAAGAUCACCGACAGCUAAGGAGAUUCCAUCCUGGUUACAAGAGCUACACUAAUUGUGUAGCUAGCAGCUCUGUGAAGUUCUUGCUUAUCUAUUUCAGCCUCUUCGUAUGAGUUUUUUUUUUCAAGUCAACUCAAAUAAUUUGCAAAAGAGACACCCUUAUUUUCUUUUUCUACUGCAAUCUUUGGGUGUUCAUUCCAUUAAAUAGCUCGACCUAGAAAUUUCAUCCACGCAUCAUCAAGAUGAUUCCCACAUCAACAUUCCAAAUCUUAUAUGCAAACAUUCUCAUUUCCCUAAUUGGAUUGAAGAGGAUCAAUAGAACAUGGGUACUGCGAGCAAUAGAUCAGAAGAAAUCAAAUUCCAGAUUAGCCCGAUAAAGAGGGGACAGCGAGAGAGAGAAAAAAGAUAGGAAAAAAAAAAGUGAGAGAGCCCACCAGAACUUGAACUCGGGGAGGCGGCGGACGAAGGGGCGGAACUCGUCGGAGGAGCGGGUGGGGAGGGAGGGGCCGGAGCCGUCGACGAGCUCCUGGAUCUCGGGGUCGACCUGCGGGGAGAGGAAGGCGAUGAAGAGGUUGAGGACGUAGAUGCCCAGGGCGUAGGAGACGAUGUAGAAGCCCUGGACGAACCAGACGCGGAGGGCGUAAGCGGCGGCCACCGCCCCGAACCCCAGCCACCGCCGGAACACGUGCGGCGUCGCCUUGUCCAGCAAGUGCUGGUACCGCCGGGAAGCGGCCGCGGCCCACGCCGACAGCACCGGCACGCCGCCGCCGGAGGAAGAAUCCAUCGUCGUCUCAAUCCGCCCUCUUUCGCCUUAUCGGUUUCCUUGUUCGCCCCCGAUUGCUAUUCUUGUCCUAAACAAAUAAGAGGGCUCGCACUAUAAAACGGGGUCGGAUUGGAAGCUAAGGGAGCAUUUGGUUCGUGGCCGGAACGGAAAUUGAAAUAACCGUACCUUCUGAUAUUUUUGGUUCCAUCGCAAUCAGAAUCGAAAUAAAAUUUAAAUAUUAGAAAAAAUAGAGCAGACUUUGGAGGAUUAGAAUAUUUCUAUUUCUUUCUAAAAUCACAAUAGAAAAUAGGCUCCCCAACCAAACAUUCCAUUCGGAAGUCCAACUCUCCAAUCAAACAUAAUCUAAAUUGGUAGCCAAAAAAAAAUUUGGAGAUGGAUGGAAGCUUGUGAUUCGUAAAAACUAGUCAACACGAUCGGUACCUUUUAUUUAGUAUUUUGAAAAUUUAAAAAUUAUUUUUUUAACAAUUAUGGUAAAUUUAGAAUUAUUAUAACACUGGCAUGUAACGUGCUUUUCUCUUUUUUUUUCUUCUUUAACUAUUCUUAAAAUAUAAUAUAAUAAUUAAUAAAUUAUAAUAAAUAGAAAAAUUUAAUGACCAAAUUUUGUUGUAUAUUAAGUAAUGAAUUUUAAUAAUAGACGAGUACAAAACUCGUCGUUAAUAUCAGUAUCAUUAGUACUAAUAUUCACAUAACUAAUGUAGAAGUUCGCACAAUAACCCUAAUACAUCAACUUCCAUCAGUGUUAUUAAUACCAACAUCUAUAUGACAAUUAGAGAGCUCUACAUAAUAGCCUCUAUGCAUAAAUUUCAUCAUUAAUGCCCAUCCUUUGCCAGGAUAUUUUUUUUUUACAUCAUCCGACUAUUUUUGCAAUGUAAUAUAUAACAAAUUAUAAUAAAUAAAAGACUUUAUUAAAUAAAUUUUUAUUAUGUAUUAAGCAAUUGAUAGUCUAAGUAUAUUAAUAACAAUGUCAUUAAUAUCUAUUUUUACUAGGCAAAUAGAGACCUCUGCACAAGAUGAGCCUUUGUUUGAGAUUUAUAUAAUAGAUUGGUUUUCAAUUUUAUAUGAUCAUUUUAGAUGACAUCUUGGAAUUUAUCAAUUAUAUCAUUCAUUACCAUAAAAAUAUAAAAAGUUUUAUAUAUCAUAUUUGGGUAUGCUCAAGUAAAGAUCUCAGCCAAAAGGAAAAUAUUGAGCUCCAUGCAAGUGGAAUAUUCGUUGAAAUUGGAAUAACAAGUAAAAAUGGAUAACUUGUAAUCACAAGAUAUAUAAGCACAAGUACAAUAGACGUCAUAAGUCUAUAGCAAGGAACAAUUGAUAAAGAUGGCUGAAUAUAUGCUCACUCUGGUUGAUGUACUUCUGUAUCUUUGUACAAAUAUUACCAGAUAGUGGAUGAAGAUUAAAUGGCUUAGGGGAUCAAUAUACGAGGAAUAUCCAACAAAAAGGUUGCGAACCUUUAAAUGUUUCGGAAUUCAGAAAGCACACUAUUGUAGACGGAUACUUUUCCCCCUCCUUUCAAGACACUGGAAAAAAUCAGGUUUGUGCUUAGAGAUAAGGGGUUUAGUUAAGAGGGACUAAUUUAUAAAACUAUAUCAUGUAGUAAAAUGAGAGAAAAAUACUACAUUGUGGGCAAGUAAUAUAUAUGGAGCUUGACUGAACUUCCAUUGGAUAGAUCUUGAUUGUAGAUUGAGGAAUCGAGAUUUCAAUGCAUUGGAUUUGUUUAUUAGAAUUCAUAUUGUUGCUGCCAAUCUAUAGAUCGUUGACGUGGGUUGCUCUCGUCGAUCAAAAGAAAACAAAAAGGCCAAUGAACUCGCAAGGGCUUUAGGCCCUGUUUGGGGGAGCUUUUGGAGGGCCAGAAAGUGCUUUCUGGCCCUCCAAAAGUACUUUUAGAUGAAAAACUGUGUUUGGUAAAUUUUUCAAAAAGCUGUUUUAGCUUUUGCGGGAAGCUGAAAACAGCUUUUGGGAGGAAGCUCCAAUUUGGAGCUUUUGGGAGGAAGCUGUUUCAGCUUUUUCGGAAAGCUGUAUUUUUGACAAAAAUGUCCAUAUUAAAAUAACAUAAUUACAUAGUUUGUCCCUUUAUAAACCUAAAAAUCUGCUGGAGUCAAGAACCCUAGCCGUCAAACUCCUUUCCGUAAGAAAAAGGUAUUUUUCUUUUCAAUUUUUGUAUGCAUCUCUUGAACCAUAUUUUAGAAGAAAAUUUUUUUUAAUCCUUUUAUAUACCUUCCAAAAUCAAUCUAUUGUUUUUUUUUAUUAUUAUCAACCUCGCGGCCCACGCUGAGGUCCUCCUCGAGUGUGGACCACGAAGAAGAGCCCCUGGAUCGUGGAAAAUUAUUUUAUGGAAAAUUAUAAAAAAUUAUUAUGGAAAAUUCUUUUAUACUAAUAAUUAUAAUAUUUUAUACUUUUAUUUUUGUAUUAUACUAUAAAUAUAAUAUCAUAUUAUAUUAUAUCAUAAUACAUUAAUAUGUUAUAUUAAAUAAUUUAAUANNNNNNNNNNNNNNNNNNNNNNNNNNNNNNNNNNNNNNNNNNNNNNNNNNNNNNNNNNNNNNNNNNNNNNNNNNNNNNNNNNNNNNNNNNNNNNNNNNNNNNNNNNNNNNNNNNNNNNNNNNNNNNNNNNNNNNNNNNNNNNNNNNNNNNNNNNNNNNNNNNNNNNNNNNNNNNNNNNNNNNNNNNNNNNNNNNNNNNNNNNNNNNNNNNNNNNNNNNNNNNNNNNNNNNNNNNNAUCAUAUAUUUAUAUAUUAAUUUAUGUUAUGUUUUGUUAUGUUCUGUUGUAUAAUACUAUGCAAUAUCCUUUAUGGUAAUUUUGUCAUACAAAAGUACUUUCUCAGUUUGUUUACCAAACACAAAACAAAGUACCACAGCACUUUACGAAUGUAGUUACCAAACAGCAAACAACUUUUU